AAAAACAUGUCCUUUUGUUUUAAAUAUAAGGUCUGACCUGCCCAAUGAUUAUUAUUUAAUGGCCGCGGUAUAUUAACUGUGCUAAGGUAGCAUAAUCACUUGUUUAAUUGGAGGCUAGAAUGAAAGGUUGGACGAUAUAUGGACUUUCUUUAACUUAGUUUUUGAAUUUAAUUUUUUAGUUAAAAAGCUAAAAUUUAUUUGAGGGACGAGAAGACCCUAUAGAUCUUUAUAUAAGAAUAUAUUGUAUAUUUUGGAGAAUUUAUUAAAAUAAUAGAUUUUUAUAUUUGGUUGGGGCGACUGUAGAAUUUAUAUUAACUUCUAUUUUUAAGUUUCAUAAAUUAAUGUUUUUUUGAUCCAUUUAUAAUGAUUAAAAGAUUAAGUUACCUUAGGGAUAACAGCGUAAUUUCUUUGGAGAGUUCUUAUCGAUAAAGGAGUUUGCGACCUCGAUGUUGGAUUAAAAUAAGUUUUAGGUGUAGGAGCUUAAUUACUAGGUCUGUUCGACCUUUAAUGUUUUACAUGAUCUGA
rnacentral:rRNA from 1 species